UGUUAUGUACAUGCCUACAACAUUAAUGCACUAGAUCCAAUUAGAAAUUUGCAAUUAAGUACACUUGGGCUAGAGUAGUAUUGGGAUGGGUGACCUCCUGGGAAGUCCUAUUGUUUUACAU
rnacentral:rRNA from 1 species